rnacentral:rRNA from 1 species
GCUUUUUCUCCGGCCGAAGAGCAGUGAUCCGAAGCAGUUCCGGUACUGUGGAGGUACCGGUAACUAGAGGCUGCCCGCAGGGAUCAAUCAGCGGCCCAUUUAUCUGGGACAUACUGAUGGAUGUACUGCUUCAGCGUCUCCAGCCGUAUUGCCAGCUGAGUGCAUACGCGGAUGACUUGCUGCUUCUCGUCGAGGGAAAUUCCCGAGCUGUGCUAGAGGAAAAAGGAGCGCAACUAAUGUCCAUCGUAGAAACGUGGGGAGCGGAAGUUGGCGUUGCCGUCUCGACCAGCAAGACGGUAAUCAUGCUGCUGAAAGGUGCCUUGAGACGUGCGCCUACGGUGAGGUUUGCUGGAGCGAACCUUCCGUAUGUGCGUAGCUGUCGGUACCUUGGCAUCACGGUCAGUGAAGGAAUGAAAUUCCUCACGCACAUAGCUUCGCUUCGCCAGCGGAUGACAGGAGUCGUUGGAGCAUUGGCGCGUGUGCUUCGAGCCGACUGGGGCUUCAGUCCUCGAGCCAGGCGGACCAUAUAUGACGGACUCAUGGCACCUUGUGUGCUGUUUGGUGCCCCGGUAUGGUAUGACACCGCGGAACAAGUAGCUGCCCAGAGGCGACUAGCCUCCUGCCAGAGGCUAAUCCUGCUUGGAUGCCUUUCGGUAUGCCGAACAGUAUCCACAGUGGCACUGCAGGUACUUGGUGGAGCUCCCCCGCUUGAUCUGGCUGCUAAGUUAUUAGCGAUCAAAUACAAGCUAAAACGUGGAUUCCGCGCUGGAGGAGAACGACUGGCUUUACGGCGAGGACAUUGCGUGUCUUAGCUGGGAGCAGAGGAAGACUCGCCUAGAGGAUGUUUAAUCCAGAGUUGGCAGAACAGAUGGGACGAUGACAGCGAACCAGGACGGGUGACGCAUAGGUUUAUCCCAUACGUCACUCUUGCCUAUCGGGAUCCAAGUUUUGGAUUCUCGAUGAGGACGUCUUUCCUGCUUACAGGGCACGGGUCGUUCAAUGCAUUUUUGCACGGGAGAGCCCUCAGCGAUACCACUGCUUGCGCAUGUGGAGAUCCAUAUGAGGACUGGAUGCAUAUCUUGUGCGCUUGCCCCUAUAUGCAGAUCUGCGGGACCUAGAUGGACUUGGAGUGCAGCGCCUUGGCGAAAACUGGAUCUUCGAGGGAAUCCUGGAUGAUCAAGAGAAGACUCAACGGCUGGCAAUGUUUGCGGAAGAAGUGUUCCUGAGGAGGAGGGGCGUUUAGCUCAACAUCUCUGCCGUGUGGUUAGCGGGCGAGAAUACUACCACAGUCCGCUGUUGCUUGUCGUAAGAGACGACUAAUACAGCGAUAGGAUUCCUCUAACCCUGCUUGUCGGAGCAAAAGGGGGAGGCCCACCGAGCCUCUUUUCGGUACCACGGGUUGAGCAGCUAUCCAAGACUGCUCAUUGAGGUAGGCCCCCUGGUGGGAGUAUCGUGGUGGCUGUGGUUGGUACCCAUAUCGCGGGUAGAGCCUUCAUGCUCGACGUUUGAGUUACGGUGCUAGUUGCGCAAAACUCGGGUGCUGUGACCCAGAGAUCAGUAGAGAUUUUAGGUAGAUCUCGCUCCUCAGCAAGGGGAGUGCUUGCCCGGCAAGCAAGUACUCGAAUUGCUACCGGGGUGGUCGCUAUGUACAUAGCUAUAGCUUCUAGUCCGGGACGCUUGUCUGGCGUAUCCAGACACAUGCACCAUAUGCUCACUUGUGGGCGUAUAGGGUGCCGUGGUUGUAAUCCCUUCAGUGUGGAACACGCCACGUAAAAUAAGUUCGGAGGGAUCCGAAAAGCAUACAUUGUCCCUAUCUACUAUCUAGCGAAACCACAGCCAAGGGAACGGGCUUGGAAUAAUUAGCGGGGAAAGAAGACCCUUUUGAGCUUGACUCUAAUCUGGCAGUGUAAGGAGACAUAAGAGGUGUAGAAUAAGUGGGAGAUAUUAGACCUCGGUUUGGUAUCGUCAAUGAAAUACCACUACUCUUAUUGUUUCCUUACUUACUUGAUUAAAUGGAACGUGUAUCAUUUCCUAGCCAUUAUACGGAUAUAUUUAUUAUAUCUUAUGGUAUUGGGUUUUGAUGCAAGCUUCUUGAUCAAAGUAUCACGAGUUUGUUAUAUAAUCGCAAACAAAUUCUUUAAUAAAACGAUGCAUUUAUGUAUUUUUGAUUUGAAAAUUUGGUAUAACUCCAAUUACUCAGGUAUGAUCCAAUUCAAGGACAUUGCCAGGUAGGGAGUUUGACUGGGCGGUACAUCUCUCAAAUAAUAACGGAGGUGUCCCAAGGCCAGCUCAGUGCGGACAGAAACCACACAUAGAGCAAAAGGGCAAAUGCUGACUUGAUCUCGGUGUUCAGUACACACAGGGACAGCAAAAGCUCGGCCUAUCGAUCCUUUUGGUUUAAAGAGUUUUUAACAAGAGGUGUCAGAAAAGUUACCAUAGGGAUAACUGGCUUGUGGCGGCCAAGCGUUCAUAGCGACGUCGCUUUUUGAUCCUUCGAUGUCGGCUCUUCCUAUCAUUGUGAAGCAAAAUUCACCAAGCGUUGGAUUGUUCACCCAUGCAAGGGAACGUGAGCUGGGUUUAGACCGUCGUGAGACAGGUUAGUUUUACCCUACUAAUGACAAAACGUUGUUGCGACAGCAUUCCUGCGUAGUACGAGAGGAACCGCAGGUACGGACCAAUGGCACAAUACUUGUUCGAGCGAACAGUGGUAUGACGCUACGUCCGUUGGAUUAUGCCUGAACGCCUCUAAGGUCGUAUCCGUGCUGGACUGCAAUGAUAAAUAAGGGGCAAUUUGCAUUGUAUGGCUUCUAAACCAUUUAAAGUUUAUAAUUUACUUUAUAAACGACAAUGGAUGUGAUGCCAAUGUAAUUUGUAACAUAGUAAAUUGGGAGGAUCUUCGAUCACCUGAUGCCGCGCUAGUUACAUAUAAAAGCAUUAUUU